UACGGAGGAUUCAAGCGUUAUCCGGAUUUACUGGGUGUAAAGGGAGCGUAGACGGUGCAGCAAGUCUGAUGUGAAAGGUCGGGGCCCAACCCCGGGACUGCAUUUGGAACUGUUAAGCUGGAGUGUCGGAGAGGCAGGCGGAAUUCCUAGUGUAGCGGUGAAAUGCGUAGAUAUUAGGAGGAACACCAGUGGCGAAGGCGGCCUGCUGGACGAUGACUGACGUUGAGGCUCGAAAGCGUGGGGAGCAAACAGG
rnacentral:rRNA from 1 species